CAUAGCGACUAUCGUGGCAUAUCAAUAAGCGGAGGAAAAGAAACUAACAAGGAUUCCCCUAGUAACGGCGAGUGAAGCGGGAAGAGCUCAAAUUUGAAAUCUUCAAGGUUUUCCCUUGACGAAUUGUAGUUUAAAGAAGUGUUUUCUGUUGAAGUUUUCGGUAAAAGUUCUUUGGAAUAGGACAUCAUAGAGGGUGAGAAUCCCGUAUUUGACCGUUACUUUCCAGCUGUGUGAUACACUUUCAAAGAGUCGGAUUGUUUGGGAAUGCAGUCCAAAAUGGGUGGUAAAUUUCAUCUAAAGCUAAAUAUUGGCGAGAGACCGAUAGCGAACAAGUACCGUGAGGGAAAGAUGAAAAGAACUUUGAAAAGAGAGUUAAACAGUACGUGAAAUUGUCAAAAGGGAAGCGUUUGACACCAGUGUUGUUUAGUUCGAAAAUCAAUUACGAAUGUUUUGUUUUUAAGGAGUUAUGACUUCAUCGGCUUGCUUCUUUCUUUACGAAACUUUCUUAAUGCACUUUUCGGUUAACAAGUCAACAUCAAUUUCUUUUGUUGUAAAAGGGUAUGAGGAAGGUGGCUUUCUUUUCGGAGAAAGUGUUUAUAGCCUUGUGCCUCUGCAAUCGGAGAGAUUGAGGUCUGCAGCGUAGAUCCUUCGGGGUUAGAUACGUUUGUGCUAAGUUAUAGCUUUUCAUAGACAACUUGUUGACUAUGUUUAGUCUUGUAGCUUACUCGCUGACGCUAUUUUACCUACGCUUAGGAUGUUGAUAGUCACAGCGUGUAC
rnacentral:rRNA from 1 species